AGUGACGGUAUGCGAAAUAUGUAGUUAAAUAAGUUUGUAACUAACACAUACUGGUAGAAAAACCCCAAGUCGCGGCGAUGUAGACUCUUCUUUUGCCCUUUAAUGUAGUUUUUCGACCCUCCAGACAUCUGAGCGGAUGGAUAUAAUUACCAUGCUGUGGUCGGCUGGCGUCCAGAGUGAGGCGUCAGUGCAGGGCGGCCAUUGUGAGGUCAAGCCAGAGGGGAUUGUGACCAGACGGGCGUGUCUGGUGAUCUAAGUCUUCAUCAGGAUAAAGCAUCUCAGCAUCCAUACAAGGAACACUGGGAAAACACAAUCUGUCCUUGAUGAUAACAAAAGGGACAAAAUGGCAAACACUGACUGGAAAUGGCAGAACAUCCAGCUUACUCAGGGUGUGUUAGUCAGCUAGUCUGUAGAAGCUGUCAAGCCUCUUGGAAACCCAGACCUCGGGGACUGAGCCUGUGGCUCGGUGGGGGCUUGCUCAGCUUAGUUAGAUGGGUUUGCUGGAUGUUAAUGCUUAAAUCAAUUUUCAGGUUUACUCU